rnacentral:lncRNA from 1 species
CCAUUUGAAUGGCCUCUUUCAUUCAAAAUGUCUUCUAGAGUUAAAAAAAAACCUCAAUAACUAGGAGCAGAGGGAUUCAAGCUGGGGAGAAAAGAUGUGCUGUCAGCUGAGACCCAAAAGGAGACAGUGUCAACAGGAGGUGGGGAGACAGAGUUUCCAGAUGUCAGGAGCAGCAGAGGAGAAGGUUUUCACAUCAGAGGUGGGGUGUCCAGGGACUGCACAAAUGGCAGGUGCCACAUUAGUGUAAGGAAUGGGUAAGAGGAACAGAGAGAAAAGUGAGAAAGAGAAAGCAGGGUGACCUAGUGAAUAGAGCAGGGGCCUGGGAGUCAAAAGGACCUGGGUCCCAAUCCUGGCUCCACGACUGUCGGCCGUGUGAUCUUGGUUGGGCAAAUCACAACUUCUCUAUGCCACAGUUUCCUCAUCUGUAAAAUGGGGAUUAAGACUGUGAGGCCUAUGUGGGACAGGGACUGUGUUCAGCCCUAUUAACUUGUAUUCAUUCAAUAGUAUUUAUUGAGCACUUAUGUGCACAGCACUGUACUAAGCGCUUGGAAUGUACAUUUCGGCAACAACUUGUAUCUACCUCAAUGGUUAAAAUAGUGUCUGGCACAUAGUAAGUAUUUAACAAAUACUAUUAUUAUUAUUAUCAUUAUUAGAAAGCCAGUCACCGUGAUUCUUCAUGCAGACAGCGCUUCCCAAAUGUUUCCCAGGGCAGCUUUGGACUCAAGAGAGACACCAGCGAUGGAUCUGAAAAGGGUUUAGGUGAUGUGGCUCCUCUCUGUGGCAGGAAGGAUGGAAGAAGAGGACAUCAGGCCUGACCUGGCUAGUGGACAGAAUGUGGAGGAGGAAGUUGAUUAGCACCCAAGUCAGGAGAAAAGAGGCACAGGAAAACCAAUACGCAGACCAGAUCAGCCUGGGCUCCCCACUGCUCCCAGGAAUUCCUGGGCUUCAGACGGUGAACCAUCCAGGCCGAUGCUCUGAAAGGACCUAAAGUCUGAAACUCUUUGCUUUGGGGAGGCAGAAGAGACCCAAUAUGUUUUUUUUUUUAAAAAAAAACAACCCACCAUUCACGUGCACAGGGUGGGGGUUUCUUGGGCCCCGGUCAGUCUGAACUCUGCUUCUGUGAAGCUGUAGCCGUCCAGAGGGUGGGGCCAUAUGUCCCCUAAUAAUAAUAAUAAUUGUAGGAUUUGAAGAAACCAAGAACUGUACUAAGCGCUGGGGUAGAUAGACGAUAACUAGAUCGGACACAGUCCCUGUCACAGUUCAAUGGGAAGGAGAACAGAUAUUAAAUCCCUAUUUGGCAGGUGAGGAAAUGGAGGCCUAGUAAAGUUAAGUGUCUUGUCCAAGGUCACACAGCAGGCAAGUCGCAGAGCCAGGAUUAGAACCCCAGAUCUGACCUUCCAGGCCCCCCUGCUCCUUCCACCAGGUCACCCUGCUUUUCUGGGAGGCCCAUCCCAGUCUGUGGGUAGAGGACUGGUCUGCCCAUGCAGGGGUUGUGGGGCAGUGGCUGGGCGUUCUGCUCUGGGCGUUCCGCUCUGCUCGGCAGGCAGAAGUCCCUGAGCAAGCCGCCGGCCACUGCUCUGUGCGGGGAUUAAAAACACUCUCAUUUUGCCUGCCUG